UACGAAGGGGACUAGCGUUGUUCGGAAUCACUGGGCGUAAAGCGCACGUAGGCGGAUUUGUAAGUCAGGGGUGAAAUCCCGGGGCUCAACCUCGGAACUGCCUUUGAUACUGCAAAUCUCGAGUCCGGAAGAGGUGAGUGGAAUUCCUAGUGUAGAAGGUGAAAUUCGUAGAUAUUAGGAAGAACACCAGUGGCGAAGGGCGGCUCACUGGUCCGGUACUGACGCUGAGGUGCGAAAGCGUGGGGGAGCAAACAGG
rnacentral:rRNA from 1 species